rnacentral:rRNA from 1 species
GAUGAACGCUGGCGGCGUGCCUAAUACAUGCAAGUCGAGCGAACAGACGAGGAGCUUGCUCCUCUGACGUUAGCGGCGGACGGGUGAGUAACACGUGGAUAACCUACCUAUAAGACUGGGAUAACUUCGGGAAACCGGAGCUAAUACCGGAUAAUAUAUUGAACCGCAUGGUUCAAUAGUGAAAGACGGUUUUGCUGUCACUUAUAGAUGGAUCCGCGCCGCAUUAGCUAGUUGGUAAGGUAACGGCUUACCAAGGCAACGAUGCGUAGCCGACCUGAGAGGGUGAUCGGCCACACUGGAACUGAGACACGGUCUAGAUUCCUACGGGAGGCAGCAGUAGGGAAUCUUCCGCAAAGGGCGAAAGCUUGACGGAGCAACGCCGCGUGAGUGAUGAAGGUCUUCGGAUCGUAAAACUCUGUUAUUAGGGAAGAACAAAUGUGUAAGUAACUAUGCACGUCUUGACGGUACCUAAUCAGAAAGCCACGGCUAACUACGUG